GAUUGAACGCUGGCGGCAUGCCUUACACAUGCANNUCGAACGGUAACAGGUCUUCGGACGCUGACGAGUGGCGAACGGGUGAGUAAUACAUCGGAACGUGCCCAGUCGUGGGGGAUAACUACUCGAAAGAGUAGCUAAUACCGCAUACGAUCUGAGGAUGAAAGCGGGGGACCUUCGGGCCUCGCGCGAUUGGAGCGGCCGAUGGCAGAUUAGGUAGUUGGUGGGAUAAAAGCUUACCAAGCCGACGAUCUGUAGCUGGUCUGAGAGGACGACCAGCCACACUGGGACUGAGACACGGCCCAGACUCCUACGGGAGGCAGCAGUGGGGAAUUUUGGACAAUGGGCGAAAGCCUGAUCCAGCAAUGCCGCGUGCAGGAUGAAGGCCUUCGGGUUGUAAACUGCUUUUGUACGGAACGAAAAAGCUUCUCCUAAUACGAGAGGCCCAUGACGGUA
rnacentral:rRNA from 1 species